GUUUUCUCUAUCGUCCCUUUAACCUUAGGGUUUCAUAUCCUUUUUUGUCAAACCAUUCAUCUCUCGUGCUUUCCACUUUCUCUCAACAAUUCUUCCCCAAAUGAUUAGGGUUUUGUCUCUGGCAUGCUCCUAACGUUCUUUUACCGUUGUACACCGGCCUUUAUCCGGUGGAACGUCCGUUAUACAACCGGUGGUCGAUGUACUCGGUUGAAUCGGCCAUUGCGUGAUGAUGCUUUUUCUGCCUUUGUUAAAUGGUCCGCCUAAAAAUGUUUUGAUUGCUCGCAACCGAUGUACGUUCAGUUGAAGAAUGCGGCUGAUUUCUAGCAACUCGAGUUGGUGGAUGCUCGAUAUCGAUUUAAGACACAAUGCUCGGUGAUCUUAAGUGAUGAUUGUUGCUUUAUUUUACUCCGGUUGAAUGUUUGAUGGUGGUUGCUGGCGAUCUGAAGUUGAUGAUUAAAUCAACAAAUUAAAGAUACAUUUAAGCAUAAAAAUGGAUCUCAACAUUUGGACUCGAGGUCACCUAAAUGGAUUAACUGGGAAUGUGUGGAGGAACAAAAGUAUGGAUUGAACACUGGUUAUGAAAGGAGAGCAAUUGCGUGUCUUAAGAGCAAAAUAAGGUUUUGGUGCUAAAGAAAUAGAAUUUUGCAAUUUAACGGUUUAUUUUUCUAAUUAAAUUCUAGGCAACUUAUUUUAUGUUUAUAGAUAGAUCAUGGGUUUAUGUUUGUAAUUAAAUGUCCACGUUUCUAGAUAACUUAUUUUCUGUUAUAUAUAGAUAGAUCGUGGGCUAAUUUGUAGGAGCAAGUCAAUCUUAGAUAGAACGGGCCUAAAAAAACCUUCCCUUCUAGAAGCUUUUCAGAAUUAUAACGGCCAGGAUUUAGCCUCAUUUUGAUCCAAUGGUUGAUAUUGCAUUUUGUUCCCUUUGACUUUAAGGGGAACAUAAGAAUAUAUAAUGGCCAAUUCCUGAUCAAUAUCCAUGGCUAAUCAAGGUAUAAUCUACCAAGAAUGCAAGUCAACUGGAUUAACUGUUUGAGCUUAUGAUCAACAUCUAUGGCUAAUUAAGGUAUCUCCACAAAGAAUGCACAAAGAAUGACCUUUCAGUUUGUCAUCCACAAAACAAAUGUCCAACUGCCCCUUCUAUUUGACCUUGUGUUAUGAUCAACAUCUAGUCCUAAUCAAGGUAUAAUCCACAAAGAAUGCACAUUAACCAGUUAAACAAAACAUGAUCCAUAAUCCAAAAUAUGUUUAUAACCAGUUAAACAAAACAUCAUCCAUAAUCCUAAAUCAGUAAAAUUAGACAAUCAUCCAUAAUUAUUUAAACAAAAUACAUCCAUAAUACUCCUACACUUCAGUUAUUAAGUAAACUAUUCAAUCCUCUAAUUUCCAGGUGGAUACCGGAAGUUGAGGAAUGGGCGACCAUACAAGGUAAUCACCACAUGGAUCACUAGAGCUAUGACAGAAAUGUUCAUCCUCACAUU
rnacentral:lncRNA from 1 species